AUCAAAAAGAGGAAGCUGGGCUGAACAGGAGCCUUCACCCUUCAGCACCUGAGUACAAACUCGCCAGGUGAGCAGCUGCCUCAAGCACAUCACCUCCCUGUCAUAACAGACAAUGGCCUUGAGCUGUGAGCCUGGGGAGAGAAUUUCUGGACCCAGUGUGAUAAUAAUACAGAUCAAUCGCCCUAGAUGGCUUGAAACUAUUCUAGAUUCUAGUCUUUCGAGAGUGGGAGCAGACAGCCCAGGACCCAAUCUGUGUUCAAACACUGCAUCUGUGAGCAGAGACAAGCACUUUGGCCAAAUUCCAACUGGUGGAUUCAACGAAGAAUAACGCGAGCCUCGGAUUCUCCAUUGUUGGGACAAAGACAAUGUGUGGCUACGUGUCUGGUCUCCUGGAAGAGUGCUCUUUACCUCUGGCCUGUCUCUCCA
rnacentral:lncRNA from 1 species